AUUGUUCUACAGCGCGAUACCCAGUUGGUUUUCCUUUUUGUUUGUUAUUCUUUUCUGUGAUGUAUUUUCGUGUAAGUGCAAGUAUUUUAUCAUCAGUCGCCAUUUAACGUAGAUAACGUUAAACAUGCGUGUUUUUACAGUAAGAGAAGCGACAUGCAUGACGGGGAUGAUAAAAUAAUCAAUAAGAAGUUUGAAUCUUUAAAAAUAAAUGAAUGCUGAACCCCAAAGAAGCCAACCAAAGAUGAGAUGUUUUCUGUACCAAACCACAAAUCAGCAUUUGCUGGUAAUCAUAACAGAUAGCCAAAAGUCAUGUACCACACUUUGUCAACAAUAAAUGCAAUCUGGAUAAAGAAUAAUAUAUUACUGCCUCUUGGAGAACAGCCGACCGUACUCCAGACAGAGACAAAGACGUGAGGACAUCCAUUGCUUUUAAGUCAUGUACCACACUUUGUCAACAAUGCAUGUUGUUCCUGCAAUCUGGAUGAAGAAUAAUAUAUUACUGCCUCUUGGAGAACAGCCGACUGUACUCCAGACAGAGACAAAGACGUGAGGACAUCCAUUGCUUUUAAGUCAUGUACCACACUUUGUCAACAAUGCAUGUUGUUCCUGCAAUCUGGAUGAAGAAUAAUAUAUUACUGCCUCUUGGGAAAACAGCAGACUGUACUCCAGACAGCUCCAGACAGAGACAAAGACAUGAAGACAUCCAUUGAUUUUAAGUCCUAUACCAGACUAUGUUGUUCCAGCUGUCUGGGUAAAGACUGAUACAUUACUACCUCUUGGAGAACAGCAAACCAUUCUCCAGACAGAGACAAAGACAUGGACAUCAAAACAGAAAAUAAAGUACUUGAUCUUGGAUUGUUUGGAGUGAAUGCUGGAAAAUAAUGAAGCAGGAAAUGAAAAUGGCUGUAAGAAGUCCUUUGUGUGCACAGACAUGACUGGAGAUUAAAGUUACUAAAUGUUGCUUUUUUUCUAGCUGGUGACAUAACAUUGUAUUAUUUUCAAAUGUAUUUAUCUAACACACAUUUACACAUCUGUAAACAUUCAUUUUAUAUUGCAUGUUUUUUAUAUUUAACCAAUUGUUGUAUAUUGCUUUCUGUUAUUACAUCUGUUUUUUAUUGCAUGUUUAUUGUUUAAAACAAUUAAGUUAAUGUUUCUCUGUUAGCUUUUAUGUUACUUUGGCUAUUUCUUUGCUUUUAUUUGAUCCUUCUACUGUUAUUUGUUUAUUUGGCAGAACAUUUGACAUUUCAUUUAUUUUGCUGUUAUCUGAAAUUGUUCUUGUCAGCAUCAAUAAAACUCUAUAUUUGCUUUAUAUCUGUGUUUUUCAAUUAUACAUUUUACGGUAUAAAUAUAUUUUGGUCACUUUAUGGCUAUUUUCUGGGGCAUCUGGAUAAGUUGCGGGUGGGUUCUGGGGUUAAUAUGGUAAUUUUGGUUAUUUUCUG